AUUGAACGCUGGCGGCAGGCCUAACACAUGCAAGUCGAACGGUAACAGAAAGCAGCUUGCUGCUUUGCUGACGAGUGGCGGACGGGUGAGUAGUGUCUGGGAAACUGCCUGAUGGAGGGGGAUAACUACUGGAAACGGUAGCUAAUACCGCAUAACGUCGCAAGACCAAAGAGGGGGACCUUCGGGCCUCUUGCCAUCGGAUGUGCCCAGAUGGGAUUAGCUAGUAGGUGGGGUAAAGGCUCACCUAGGCGACGAUCCCUAGCUGGUCUGAGAGGAUGACCAGCCACACUGGAACUGAGACACGGUCCAGACUCCUACGGGAGGCAGCAGUGGGGAAUAUUGCACAAUGGGCGCAAGCCUGAUGCAGCCAUGCCGCGUGUAUGAAGAAGGCCUUCGGGUUGUAAAGUACUUUCAGCGGGGAGGAAGGGAGUAAAGUUAAUACCUUUGCUCAUUGACGUUACCCGCAGAAGAAGCACCGGCUAACUCCGUGCCAGCAGCCGCGGUAAUACGGAGGGUGCAAGCGUUAAUCGGAAUUACUGGGCGUAAAGCGCACGCAG
rnacentral:rRNA from 1 species